rnacentral:lncRNA from 1 species
AUGUUUCAAGGGUGCUGUAGAGUAAACUGGCUUCCCCAUAAAAAGACUGAAUUGUUGCUCUUUGUCUUUCCGAUUUCUGACAUCAUUCUUUGGCACUCUAUUCUACGUGACAAUUUAAUUCCUGGAUUCAGGAGCCUGGAGCUUUUCCUGCAUGAGCUCUCAGGAUUGAGCUUGCUUUGGCUCAGUGCCCAUAUUCGCUUAUAUCAGAAGGAAUCUGUGGGAAGAAUUGCACUGUUUGAUAUUGGCUACCUGUUACUCUUCUCCAAUCUUGUAACCGAAAGUUUCAGCAAGGGGCAGAGGCAGCAGUGUGGGACCAAGCCAGACAGUCCUGAUUUCCCCGAGCUCAAAAUCAAAGUCACAGUAAGUGCAACAAUGCUAUGUUUUCUUUGCUUUCACUUUUCUCAGAAACACCUCACUGGGACUGGCCAAUCCAGUCUGGCUGAUAUUGCACUCUCCCAGCAGAGCAGAUGAAAACCUUCCCUGCUCCAGCUUCCCACGACACAGCGGGGAAACAUGACGGAAAUGUGGGUUCCACUGUGUUGUGCAAAAACAGGGCCCAGAGACAUAGGACCAAGAAAAAAAUGUUGUUUUGGCAAGACUGGGUUGCAUGCAUGGAGGGGCAAUCAGCAUGAG